GAUGAACGUUGGCGGCGUGGCUAAGGCAUGCAAGUCGAACGGACCUUACUUGAGAGUAAUCGAAGGUAAGGUUAGUGGCGGACGGGUGAGUAAUACAUGGGUAACGUACCCCGGACUCUGGGAUAGCGGCGGAACUUCGGUUCCUUUGCGAAAGUGCCGGUAAUACCGGAUGAUCUCGUUGGAUCGCAUGGUCUGGCGAGCAAGGCUCCGGCGGUCUGGGAUCGGCCCAUGGCCUAUCAGCUUGUUGGUGGGGUAAUGGCCUACCAAGGCAACGACGGGUACCGGGUGUGAGAGCAUGACCCGGCACAUCGGGACUGAGACACUGCCCGGACACCUACGGGUGGCUGCAGCAACGAAUAUUCCGCAGUGGGCGAAAGCCUGACGGAGCAAUACCGCGUGAGGGAUGAAUGCCUAUGGGUUGUAAACCUCUUUUUUCAGG
rnacentral:rRNA from 1 species